CCGGAUUUAUUGGGUUUAAAGGGUGCGUAGGCGGCUUUAUAAGUCAGCGGUGAAAUAUUGCAGCUUAACUGUAACAGUGCCGUUGAUACUGUAGAGCUAGGAUUAGGUUGCUGUGGGCGGAAUGUGUGGUGUAGCGGUGAAAUGCUUAAAGAUCACACAGAAUAUCGAUUGCGAAGGCAGCUCACAAAGCCUAAAUUGACGCUGAGGCACGAAAGUGUGGGGAUCGAACAGGAUUAGAUACCCUGGUAGUCCGCACUGUAAACGAUGAUAACUCGCUGUCGGCGAUAUACAGUCGGUGGCCAAGCGAAAGCGAUAAGUUAUCCACCUGGGGAGUACGACCGCAAGGUUGAAACUCAAAGGAAUUGACGGGGGCCCGCACAAGCGGAGGAACAUGUGGUUUAAUUCUAUGAUACGCGAGGAACCUUACCCGGGCUCGAACGGUGCAUGAAUGUCAUAGAGAUUUGACAGUCCUUCCGGGACAUGUAUCGAGGUGCUGCAUGGUUGUCGUCAGCUCGUGCCGUGAGGUGUCGGCUUAAUGUGCCAUAACGAGCGCAAUCCUUGUUGACAGUUACCAUCAGGUAAAAGCUCGGGACUCUGUCGAGACUGCCACUGUAAUGUGUGAGCCACGUGGGGGAUGACCGUCAAAUCAGCAUCGGACCCUUUAUGUCCGGGGCGACAUACGAGGUUACAAUGGGCCGGUACAGAUGGCCAGCUAUCUCAGUGAUGGGAGUUGCCAAAUCUCGAAAACCGUUUCCUCAGCUUCGGACUUGCGAGGUCUGCAUCUCGACUCCAUGAAGUUUGGAUUCCCUAGUCAGUCGACGUCAUUCAGC
rnacentral:rRNA from 1 species